AUUGAACGCUGGCGGCAUGCUUUACACAUGCAAGUCGAACGGUAACAGGGUGCUUGCACCGCUGACGAGUGGCGAACGGGUGAGUAAUGCGUCGGAACGCACCGAGUAAUGGGGGGUAACGCAGCGAAAGCUGUGCUAAUACCGCAUACGCUCUGAGGAGGAAAGCAGGGGAUCGUAAGACCUUGCGUUAUUCGAGCGUCCGACGUCUGAUUAGCUAGUUGGUGGGGUAAAGGCCCACCAAGGCGACGAUCAGUAGCGGGUCUGAGAGGAUGAUCCGCCACACUGGGACUGAGACACGGCCCAGACUCCUACGGGAGGCAGCAGUGGGGAAUUUUGGACAAUGGGCGCAAGCCUGAUCCAGCCAUGCCGCGUGUCUGAAGAAGGCCUUCGGGUUGUAAAGGACUUUUGUCAGGGAGCAAAUGCCGGCGGCUAAUAUCCGCUGGAGCUGAGAGUACCUGAAGAAUAAGCACCGGCUAACUACGUGCCAGCAGCCGCCGUAAUAC
rnacentral:rRNA from 1 species